rnacentral:rRNA from 1 species
UACGAAGGGGGCUAGCGUUGCUCGGAAUUACUGGGCGUAAAGGGCGCGUAGGCGGUGUGUCAAGUCAGGCGUGAAAGCCCCGGGCUCAACCUGGGAACAGCGCUUGAGACUGGCACGCUCGAGUUCGGGAGAGGAUGGUGGAAUUCCCAGUGUAGAGGUGAAAUUCGUAGAUAUUGGGAAGAACACCGAUGGCGAAGGCAGCCUUCUGGGCCAACACUGACGCUCAUGCACGAAAGCGUGGGGAGCAAACAGG